GUCUCUGUACCCAGGCCAACCUGGAGCUCGCUCACUGUGCAGUUAACGAGUUGUCCACACGAGCAGCAUGGGUGACCGAUGAGAGUCGUCACCUUCAGCAGAGCUGAUGAAUUAUCCAGAACUUCUUGGGACAAGCCUAAGACAAGCACUUUCCCUGUGGAGUGGGCCUGCCACCAGUGAAUUGCUCAGGGGAGCUGGCCUCUUAGUGACCCUGGAUGUCUCCUUCUGAAAGAAACACUGGCAAGAACCAUGGAAUGUAAAAUCUCCGGUUACUACAGAACUGGGCAGGAGGCCUGGCUGGAGGUUAUGAUGGUUAUCUCCACUGUCAAAUUGACUGGAUUUAGAAUUACCUAGAAGAUGGAGGUACACCUCUGGGCUGUCCCGGGAAGACGUGCCCCGAAUGCCAACAGAGUGCUGUGAAUCCCCCAAAGCAGUGAGACAGAAGAAACCCUUCCUCCCCCGAGCCAUCCUGUCAGAAUGGGAAGAGAACUUCCUACAGCUCUCUGAGCCCUCCCUCAAACCACGGGAUGCUCACCCUGGAGACCACAAGCUGUGGAGGAUGGAAGAACAGUCUGGCUUUUUACGGUGGUGCUUGGAGGGCCACGCAUGGUAAGACCCUACAGACAAGGCUGCUCCGACGUUGGCCAACCCUGCUCAAGGCUGACCCUAAAGUUCCUUUCAGCCUAGAACCAGGAACCAAAGGCUUGGGAGCCGGAGGCAAACCUGUGUGUCAUCGGGGGACAACUGGACGGCAGGAGUAACCUGAUUUUUCCAGUCCUGGCUCAUGAUAGCCAUGCCAGUGCCCACGUGGCUGGAGGUGCCUCCCACCCCUGCAAAGGCUGUGAUGAUCCCAGAAACGAAAGACUCUGCAGACACGUUCUGAUCCCACGCCAAGGGAAAGGCAGAAGCUCGGGAUGUGAAGAACCUGACCUUGGCCUAACCUUCCUCCCAGAUUAGCCUGAACUGACAAUGUCCUUGAUAGGACAUUUGCUUUCUUGCCCAGAGGGUCAUCAGUCAGAGAUCCAUUUUGAAAAACAUUCUGAAAAGUGAACUUCAAAGGGCCCUGGAGAAGGGGCCCACUGGGGAAGGACUGUUGAAUGCCCCUGCCCUCCACCAAGUGCUGGGAUUAAAGUUGUUUGUCACCACA